ACUCCUGCGGGAGGCAGCAGUGGGGAAUUUUGGACAAUGGGCGAAAGCCUGAUCCAGCAAUGCCGCGUGAGUGAAGAAGGCCUUCGGGUUGUAAAGCUCUUUUGUCAGGGAAAAAACGGUGAGAGCUAAUAUCUCUUGCUAAUGACGGUACCUGAAGAAUAAGCACCGGCUAACUACGUGCCAGCAGCCGCGGUAAUACGUAGGGUGCAAGCGUUAAUCGGAAUUACUGGGCGUAAAGCGUGCGCAGGCGGUUUUGUAAGUCUGAUGUGAAAUCCCCGGGCUCAACCUGGGAAUUGCAUUGGAGACUGCAAGGCUAGAAUCUGGCAGAGGGGGGUAGAAUUCCACGUGUAGCAGUGAAAUGCGUAGAUAUGUGGAGGAACACCGAUGGCGAAGGCAGCCCCCUGGGUCAAGAUUGACGCUCAUGCACGAAAGCGUGGGGAGCAAACAGGAUUAGAUACCCCGGUAGUCCCAUGAU
rnacentral:rRNA from 1 species